rnacentral:lncRNA from 1 species
UCUUUUCGAUUUCUGCCACAUUAUGGAAUUUCACGGAACGCGUAAGCCUGCUUCCUUUUGAUUUCUGACACGUCUCGGGACUUCAUUUAUUGUGAAACAAAGGGUGCCCAAUAUCUUGAAGCGGCCAAUCAAAGGUUGUAUAUCAUCAAAUAACAAUCCCCGGACGAAAUUAGGGUAUGACAGUUGCCCCUCUUUACUUACCUCUCAUCGGAGAUAAGAGGAAAGCAAAGAUAAGACACUAAUUUCGUCCGUCCUGCCCUUUCCGUGAUGACGACUCUC